AAUAAAAGCUUUGGCACUUUACAAUAACUGCAAUAAAUGCAGCCUAUUAAAUGAAUUAUAAACAUUCAUGUAGAUUCUGAUAAUGUACAUAUCUUUGUCAAAAAUGUUUGAUAAGAAACACAUUUAGACAACAUGUGUGCGUAGCGCAGUACGUGUGAUGUCACGACGUCAUCAGCAAAUUUGCGCCCGGUGCACAUGCGCAUUGCGAGUUUGCGCAGACAGGUGUCUACGGUCGGAGUGGAAUGAAGAAGUUGCAUCUGAUAAUUCUUCCAUUGUGUAGCAGCAACUGCAGCUGACAUGGAAUGAGGAUUAUCGGAUUCACCUCUCACUGAUCAUCCAAGGUGAAUUGAUGACCUCAAGCAAAUGGAUGUUGUCAUCUGAAGAGAAGGUUGUCCUGGGCCCAUGUUUAGAGGCAUUUGGGGCAUAUCUGACACAUAUCACAAUCAAGCUGCAUGCACACUUGAGUUUAUUCAGAGAGAAGUUGUGGGCAUCAGUCCGGAAACUGGAUAAAAAAUUUGCUGCUGGAAUGUGAGACAAAUAAAGGCAUGGAAUGAACCCAAAUGUAUGAACACUGCUACGAAAACUAAUGGACUUUGAAUGGCUUGCCAGUUAAUUCCAAUGGAAUUGAAGAAGAGACUCUGACAAGAUUUUCAAGUUUGUGUUUAAUUUAAAAGUUUAUCUUCAUAGAUAAGCAAUUUAAAGGUAGGCACAGUUAAAACUAUUUCUUGUGUGUUUGUUUAAACUGUAAAUUUAUGACUGAAGUUUGGUCACUAUGUAGUAAUGUGUUCCUUUGUGGUUAAUUAAAUGCUGCAGUGCUUAGUGGUAUUCGUUGUUGUAUUUCCAAGGCUAAAGCCUUAUUUUGUGAUCUGCAUUGUAUUGGAGAGUUUUGGAAACUAAUACUUAUUAUCUUAAUGCAUUGGAAAGUUUUGGACUAUUGAACAAUAAAUGCAUUUGGCUACAUCUGUGAUUUUCUGUUAUUUUAAGUGUUUUAGUUUACAUUACAUUAAAUGAUUUAUCACAGCAGUUAAAAAAAAUUACAGUAAUUUUUUUUACAGUGUAGGCUACCAUGACACAAGUUGCAGCUCCAAAAACAUUUCUUAGUCAAGUUGUAUAGCUACAAGCAGCACAAAACCAAAGAAGUGGAUUUGAUGAAGUCAUAGUGUAGUAUUGCUGAACAAUGUUCACCAGUUAGAGAUUGAGGUGGAAUGUGAGUUAACAGUGGACGUGGUCUUACUUUGCAGCAAGAGCAAAACCCUAAAAGUUUCAAUGCUGAAGAGGGAUACAUUUUAAACACUAUAAAUUUACUGAUUUAUGUAAUUUUACUUAAAUUUCUACAGAAAAAUAAUCAAUAAAACAUUUACAGAAAUUUUCUGUAAAAAUAAUUUUUUAAUCUGUAAAAAUGAACGGCAAAUUUCUGUGGAAAUUAACGGCAAAUGUCUGAAAAUUAACGGCAAAUGUCUGAAAAUUAACGGCAAAUGUCUGUGGAAAUUAACGGCAAAUGUCUGUGGAAAUUAACGGCAAAUGUCUGUGGAAAUUAACGGCAAAUGUCUGGAAAUUAACGGCAAAUUUCUGUGAAAAUU